GUAGCUCAGUGGAUAAAGCAUUUGUUUCCGAAGCAGAAAGUUGUAGGUUCCACCCCUAUC
rnacentral:tRNA from 1 species